rnacentral:rRNA from 1 species
AUGCACGCUGGCGGCGUGCCUAAUACAUGCAAGUCGAGCGAACAGACGAGGAGCUUGCUCCUCUGACGUUAGCGGCGGACGGGUGAGUAACACGUGGAUAACCUACCUAUAAGACUGGGAUAACUUCGGGAAACCGGAGCUAAUACCGGAUAAUAUAUUGAACCGCAUGGUUCAAUAGUGAAAGACGGUUUUGCUGUCACUUAUAGAUGGAUCCGCGCCGCAUUAGCUAGUUGGUAAGGUAACGACUUACCAAGGCAACGAUGCGUAGCCGACCUGAGAGGGUGAUCGGCCACACUGGAACUGAGACACGGUCCAGACUCCUACGGGAGGCAGCAGUAGGGAAUCUUCCGCAAUGGGCGAAAGCCUGACGGAGCAACGCCGCGUGAGUGAUGAAGGUCUUCGGAUCGUAAAACUCUGUUAUUAGGGAAGAACAAAUGUGUAAGUAACUAUGCACGUCUUGACGGUACCUAAUCAGAAAGCCACGGCUAACUACGUG